ensembl:lncRNA
GUGGGUGCAGGUGGGGAAGACGGAGCAGGUGGGUGCAGGUGGGGAAGACUGAGCAGGUGGGGAAGACGGUGCAGGUAGGGAAGACGGAGCAGGUGGGUGCAGGUGGGGAAGACUGAGCAGGUGGGGAAGACUGAGCAGGUGGGGAAGACUGAGCAGGUGGGGAAGACGGAGCAGGUGGGUGCAGGUGGGGAAGACUGAGCAGGUGUGUGCAGGUAGGGAAGACGGAUUCUCAUUCCAAGGUGGCAUAGCAGUUCAGACGUCUUUUGUCCUCGUCUUGUCGUGUCCUGUAUAUAUA